UCUGAUUAGUCUCUUAGAACUGAUUAAUCUCUUAGAACUUCUCUCAUUGUGUUGUAUACAUUUAUAUCCUUUGUUCUUUGUCCAGUUUUUUAGUUCUGGGGUUGAAGUAUGUCCUCAAAAGACCUUAGGCGAAUCUAUGACAACUUAAUGAAACCUUGAAGUACAUAGUUUGACAGGAUGCACUUGUUGCAAUAAAAGGUGGUUAGGUUCCUCCUCCUGGCCAGCUGCCAACAUUUGAAGAAAUCAAAGAUACAGUAGGCUUCAAUGACUAUUAUAAAGAAGAAGAGCGCUAUAGUGUCAGUUCGGCUGCGACAUCUCAAAAAAGUUAAUAUUGUGCCAGAUCAACAGGUGAAGGCACAGAGCAAAGCACAGAAAAGCCAUAUCAACCUGAUGUUGCAGUGCUCGUUCCAGAUGUUUUUUUUUUAAAAUCUAGUCUUAACUCUUAAUUUGAACUUUUUCAUGGUCAAGCUGGUCUCUGCCGUAAGU